AUAUUACUAAGCGGAGGAAAAGAAACUAACGAGGAUUCCCUCAGUAACGGCGAGUGAACAGGGAAGAGCUCAAGCCUAAAAUCUCCCUGCCACUGGGUAGGGCGAAUUGUAGUGUUAGGAGUGUCUCCUUCAGUGGAGAGGACUGGAUAAGUAGCCUGGAACGGCUUACCACAGAGGGUGAUAGUCCCGUGUCCAAGUCUUCGUCCGCUGGUAUGCUGGCACCUCCUCGAGUCGAGCUGUUCGGUAUUGCAGCUCUAAGUGGGUGGUAAGCUCCAUCCAAAGCUAAAUACGGCCAAGAGACUGAUAGCGAACAAGUACCGUGAGGGAAAGAUGAAAAGAACUCUGGAAAGAGAGUUAAAAGUGUCCAAAACCCUCUGUGGGGAAGCGAUGAUCGUACGUGCAUGAUCUGCCGAUCCAGCUGUAGUGGGGCAGCGGGCUGUUACGGGGUAGGGUCAAACCACCACGUGGCAGCUGCGGCUGUUCCCUGCGGCGCAUCUCGGCAUAGUCAACUCGGUGUGUCUCUACCGGGACCCAAAAGGCCCCAAGGCGCCUGUGGCCUAGCCAUAGGGCCUGGGAGU
rnacentral:rRNA from 1 species